rnacentral:rRNA from 1 species
AGUUUGAUUAUGGCUCAGGAUGAACGCUAGCUACAGGCUUAACACAUGCAAGUCGAGGGGCAGCAGGACGAUAGCUUGCUAUUGUCGCUGGCGACCGGCGCACGGGUGAGUAACGCGUAUCCAACCUUCCCCUUAGUAGAGGAUAGCCCGGCGAAAGUCGGAUUAAUACUCUAUGUUGUAUUUUUGAGGACAUCUGACGAAUACCAAAGAUUUAUCGCUAAGGGAUGGGGAUGCGUCUGAUUAGCUUGUUGGCGGGUAACGGCCCACCAAGGCGACGAUCAGUAGGGGUUCUGAGAGGAAGGUCCCCCACAUUGGUACUGAGACACGGACCAAACUCCUACGGGAGGCAGCAGUGAGGAAUAUUGGUCAAUGGGCGAGAGCCUGAACCAGCCAAGUAGCGUGCAAGGAAGACUGCCCUAUGGGUUGUAAACUGCUUUUAUCAGGGAAUAAAGUGCGGCACGUGUGCUGUUUUGUAUGUACCUGAUGAAUAAGGACCGGCUAAUUCCGUGCCAGCCGCCGC